GCAGCUACCAUGCAAGUCGAACGGUAACAGGAAGCAGCUUGCUGCUUUGCUGACGAGUGGCGGACGGGUGAGUAAUGUCUGGGAAACUGCCUGAUGGAGGGGGAUAACUACUGGAAACGGUAGCUAAUACCGCAUAACGUCGCAAGACCAAAGAGGGGGACCUUCGGGCCUCUUGCCAUCGGAUGUGCCCAGAUGGGAUUAGCUAGUAGGUGGGGUAACGGCUCACCUAGGCGACGAUCCCUAGCUGGUCUGAGAGGAUGACCAGCCACACUGGAACUGAGACACGGUCCAGACUCCUACGGGAGGCAGCAGUGGGGAAUAUUGCACAAUGGGCGCAAGCCUGAUGCAGCCAUGCCGCGUGUAUGAAGAAGGCCUUCGGGUUGUAAAGUACUUUCAGCGGGGAGGAAGGUGUUGAGGUUAAUAACCUCGUCAAUUGACGUUACCCGCAGAAGAAGCACCGGCUAACUCCGUGCCAGCAGCCGCGGUAAUACGGAGGGUGCAAAUUACUGGGCGUAAAGCGCACGCAGGCGGUCUGUCAAGUCGGAUGUGAAAUCCCCGGGCUCAACCUGGGAACUGCAUUCGAAACUGGCAGGCUAGAGUCUUGUAGAGGGGGGUAGAAUUCCAGGUGUAGCGGUGAAAUGCGUAGAGAUCUGGAGGAAUACCGGUGGCGAAGGCGGCCCCCUGGACAAAGACUGACGCUCAGGUGCGAAAGCGUGGGGAGCAAACAGGAUUAGAUACCCUGGUAGUCCACGCCGUAAACGAUGUCGACUUGGAGGUUGUGCCCUUGAGGCGUGGCUUCCGGAGCUAACGCGUUAAGUCGACCGCCUGGGGAGUACGGCCGCAAGGUUAAAACUCAAAUGAAUUGACGGGGGCCCGCACAAGCGGUGGAGCAUGUGGUUUAAUUCGAUGCAACGCGAAGAACCUUACCUACUCUUGACAUCCAGAGAACUUAGCAGAGAUGCUUUGGUGCCUUCGGGAACUCUGAGACAGGUGCUGCAUGGCUGUCGUCAGCUCGUGUUGUGAAAUGUUGGGUUAAGUCCCGCAACGAGCGCAACCCUUAUCCUUUGUUGCCAGCGGUUAGGCCGGGAACUCAAAGGAGACUGCCAGUGAUAAACUGGAGGAAGGUGGGGAUGACGUCAAGUCAUCAUGGCCCUUACGAGUAGGGCUACACACGUGCUACAAUGGCGCAUACAAAGAGAAGCGACCUCGCGAGAGCAAGCGGACCUCAUAAAGUGCGUCGUAGUCCGGAUUGGAGUCUGCAACUCGACUCCAUGAAGUCGGAAUCGCUAGUAAUCGUGGAUCAGAAUGCCACGGUGAAUACGUUCCCGGGCCUUGUACACACCGCCCGUCACACCAUGGGAGUGGGUUGCAAAAGAAGUAGGUAGCUUAACCUUCGGGAGGGCGCUUACCACUUUGAUCAC
rnacentral:rRNA from 1 species